UAAUCCGUAUGGGGAUCUGCCCGAUAGAGGGGAAUAACUACUGGAAACGGUGGCUAAUACCGCAUAAUGUCUACGGACCAAAGCAGGGGCUCUUCGGACCUUGCACUAUCGGAUGAACCCAUAUGGGAUUAGCUAGUAGGUGGGGUAAAGGCUCACCUAGGCGACGAUCUCUAGCUGGUCUGAGAGGAUGAUCAGCCACACUGGGACUGAGACACGGCCCAG
rnacentral:rRNA from 1 species